rnacentral:lncRNA from 1 species
GAGGCUGGACGUGGUGGCUUACACCUGUAAUCCCAGCACUUUGGGAGGCCAAAGUGGGCAGAUCACCUGAGGUCAGGAGUUCAAGACCAGCCUGGCCAACAUGGCAAAAACUUGUCUCUACAAAAAUACAAAAAUUAGCCAGGUGCAGUGGCGCAUGUCUGUAGUCCCAACUACUCCAGAGGUGGAGGCAGGAGAAUCGCUUGAACCCAGGAGGCAGAGGUUGCAGUGAGCCGAGAUCACGCCACUGCAAUCCAGUCAGGGUGACAGAGCAAGACUCCAUCUCAAAAAAACUGCAACAAAACAAAUUAAAAAAACAAACAAGACAAAGAGUGAGUUUUCUGUUACAUACUCAAUUUCUGGUAGGAAGCCCCUACAGGAGAUGUAGCAACAAGUAAGUUAGUAUGUAUGCACAAUGUACAUACAUACUUUAUCUCAAUUUCACAAAAAAAUUGUAUUCAAUCUUAAGUAGACCAUAACCAGCAAAGAAGUUGAUAUUAGACUUCAGCUCAGGAUUAGUCAUGUAAAUCUUUCAACAGUUCCAUCUAUCACAUCUCAUGCCAGGGGUUAUUCAGUGUCUUUUACUACUCAUAUAGAUUGUCUUUACCAAUAUGUUCCUUUGCAUUCAGCCCUGUUAACCCCUGGGUUCCCAUUGCAUUUCACUGCGUCCCAGCCUUAGAAAUGCACCGUUAUCUUUAUGCCCGUGUUAGCAUCUAAUCUGGCCAUAUGUAUUUCAGGCUUUCCUGGCUGUGCUUGAGUGAUCAGUGUGUCUACCAGAAGCUUCCUGAUAAAAUACUGCCUUCUCUGCUAUAGCAGACUUACAGUUUACUUUUAAAAUAACUCACUUGAAAUUUAAUAGGCGGUUUUAAAGCUACAUCUGAUUUAAGCCCCAUAAGUUCUAGUUUUUAAGAACACACUUGACAUGCCAACCUGGGGUUUUCUGAGCUGUUGAGUGGAAACACAGGCUUGCCAUUGUAUUGUGCGUUGUGGCUGUGUUCACUGUGGAUGUGAAAACAAAACCAAAAAAGCAAACCUGGGCUGGCCUGUGAAUAAACUUGGUGACACUGGAUAAACAACCAGAGAAUGCCGAAAACUAGGGCCGAAAUCUUUCAGUUUA